CCUGCUGUAGUGAAACACACACAUGCACAAUGAUUCUUCAUUCAGUCAUUCUGCUUUCUGCCUUGACAUGUGUGAGUUUUGGAGAUGAAAUCACACCAGACAGCACUGAGGAAUCUGCUGCAGUGGGUUCAACUGUUACUUUAUCCUGCAGUUAUUCCUCUGCAGACUCACUUCAAUGGUACCGUCAGUAUCCCGGAUCAGCUCCUCAAUUUCUUGUGCUCAUAAUAGAGAGUGUGAAAGAGACUAAGACAUCUGAUGUAGAUCCCAGGUUCUCUACUAAGCUCAGAAAAGAAAAACAAGCUACAAAAGAGACCAACCGUGUGGAUCUGAUCAUCUUCUCUGCUGCAGUAUCAGACUCUGCUCUGUAUUACUGUUGGAUUAUCAUGUGUAACACACUGUGCUGGUAUAAUGUGCCACAAGGUGGCAGUGUUCUCAGACAUUCACUAGGAACUGCAGCAAUAAACAUCAACAUUGAAUUUACAGAACUGAACUUGGGUAUCAUGUGGUUCAGAGAGGAGGGACUCAGUGUUCAGAGAUCUGACAUGAUCUAA